GGGAAAGUGACUCAGUGGUAGAGUGCUUGCCUUGCAUGCAUGAGGCCCUGGGUUCAAUUCCCCAGCACCA
rnacentral:tRNA from 1 species